CUGCGGAGGUGACAACGACACUGAGCAGCGACGCGCACUUUUAGGACGUGUUUGUGACCCGCCUUCCGGAAGGAAGCGGCUAACUAUGGCGACCGCCACGGAGCAGUGGGUCCUGGUGGAGAUGGUACAGGCGCUCUACGAGGCUCCUGCUUACCAUCUUAUUUUGGAAGGGAUUCUGAUACUCUGGAUAAUCAGACUUCUUUUCUCUAAGACUUACAAAUUACAAGAACGAUCUGAUCUUACAGUCAAGGAAAAAGAAGAACUGAUUGAAGAGUGGCAACCAGAACCUCUUGUUCCUCUUGUCCCAAAAGACCAUCCUGCUCUCAACUACAACAUCGUUUCAGGCCCUCCAAGCCACAAAAUUGUGGUGAACGGAAAAGAAUGUAUAAACUUCGCCUCAUUUAAUUUUCUUGGAUUGUUGGAUAACCCUAGGGUUAAGGCAGCAGCUUUAGCAUCUCUAAAGAAGUAUGGCGUGGGGACUUGUGGACCCAGAGGAUUUUAUGGCACAUUUGAUGUUCAUUUGGAUUUGGAAGACCGCCUGGCAAAAUUUAUGAAGACAGAAGAAGCCAUUAUAUACUCAUAUGGAUUUGCCACCAUAGCCAGUGCUAUUCCUGCUUACUCUAAAAGAGGGGACAUUGUUUUUGUAGACAGAGCUGCCUGCUUUGCUAUUCAGAAAGGAUUACAGGCAUCCCGUAGUGACAUUAAGUUAUUUAAGCAUAAUGACAUGGCUGACCUCGAGCGACUACUAAAAGAACAAGAGAUCGAAGAUCAAAAGAAUCCUCGCAAGGCUCGUGUAACUCGGCGUUUCAUUGUAGUAGAAGGAUUGUAUAUGAAUACUGGAACUAUUUGUCCUCUUCCAGAAUUGGUAAGCAACCAUGUUCAGCCGUAAUUUUAAUAUUUGGACUAUUUGACAGAUGUGCCUUUUGUUUAUGACCGCUUUUAGUGUAUAACGUCUGCGUUGCUUUCACAUUAGGCCUCAUAAGCAUGUUUUGCUCAGAUUAGGGAAAAAGAACAACACUGAAUGCCAGUGCUGGCCUUCAAAGAGUAAUCAAGACUGCUCUGUUGCCCAGGGUGGAGUGCAGUGGUGUGAACACAGCUCACUGCAGCCUUACCCUCCAGGGCUCAAGUGAUCUUCCACCUUAGCUUUCUGAGUUAGCUGGGACUACAGGUACGUGGCACCACACCUGGCUGAUUUUUCCCUUUUUUGUGGAGUAGGGAUCUCACUGUGUUACCCAGGCUGUUCUCAAACUCUUGGGCUCAAGCGAUCCUCCUGCCUCAGCCUGCGAAAGUGCUGGUAUUACAGGUAUUAGCCAGCACACCUGGCCAAAACUUAGCUUUAGCUUUUUUUUUUUCUUCAAGACAGAGUCUUGCCCUGUCAUCAGGCUGGAGUGCAGUGGCCAUCUUGGCUCACUGCAGCCUCCUCCCCUGGGUUCAAGCAGUUCUCCUGCCUCAGCCUCCCGAGUAGCUGGAACUAUAGGCGUGUGCAACCACCCCCAGCUAAUUUUUGUAUUUUUAGUAGAUACGGGGUUUCACCAUGUCGGCUAGGAUGGUCUCAAUCUCUUGACCUCGUGAUCCGCCCGCCUGGACCUCCCAAAAUGCUGGGAUUACAGGCAUGAGCCACUGCGUCGGCCAUACGUAGCUUUUAAGAUCCAGCUUUAUUUAGGUGAAAUCAACGUAUAAAGUACACCUACUUUAAGGGUAAAGUUUGAUAAGUUUUGACAGAUGUAUAUACAUCUCUAUCACCACAGCCAUCACCACCACAGUCAAGAUACAGAACAUUUUUGUGUAAGACAAUGUUUAUCCAGAAAGAAAACUUUAUCCAGAAAGCUUCCUGAUGCCUCUUGGUAGUGCGUACCCAUGUUGGCCCCAGACAGCCAUUAAUCUACUUUCUAUUCCUGUAGAUUAGUUUUACCUUUUGAGAAUUGCUUGAACCCGGGAUGUGGAGGUUGCAAUGAGCCGAGAUCAGCCAGUGCUCUCCAGCCUGGGCAACACAGCGAGACUCCGUCUCAAAAAAAAAAAAAAAAACUUUAUUUAAUCCAAAAUUAUCAAUAUUUACUGCUAUGUUUCCCCCUAAGAGUUUAUAGUUUUCAAUCUUACAUUUAGGUCUGUAGUUCAUUUGAGUUCAUUUUUCAUAUGCGAUGAUGAAGUAGUCCAAUUUUAUUCUUUCACAAGUGGUUAUCCAGUUUUGCCUGCAUCAUUGGUGAAUGUUUCCCCAUUGACUGGUCUUGGCACCCUUGUUGAAAUUAAUUGACCAUAGAUGUGUGGGUUUAUUUCUAGACUCUAUUCUGUUUCAUUCUUCUAUAUAUCUGUCCUUAUGCCAGUACCACACUGUGUCAAUUAUUGUAGCUUUGUAGUGAGUUUUGAAAUCAGGACAUGUGAGUUCAACUUUGUUCUUUUUCAAAAUUAUUUUAGCUAUUUGGAAUCUCUUGAAAUUCCAUUUGAAUUUUAGGAUUAACUUUUCCAUUUCUGUAAAAAGUAUUGUUGGGAUUUUGGUGAGGAUUGCAUUGAAUAUGUAGUCACUUUGGGAAGUAUUACCAUCUUAAUGAUAUCAAGUCUUCCAGUCCUGAACUUGGGAUUUUUCCAUCUAUUUAGAUAUUUCCUUCAGCAAUGUUUUGUGGUUUUUAGUAUUCACGUCCUGCACCUCUUUGGUUAAAUUUAUCACUAAGUAUUUGAUUUUUUUAUUCUACUAUAAAUGGAAUUGUUUCCUUAAUUUCCUUUUUAGAUUGUUUACUGUUAGUUUAUCGAAAUACAACAGACAUUUGUGUAUUGCUUUUGCAUAAUGUAAUUUCUGCUGAAUUUAUUAGCUCAAAUAGUACUUUUGUGGAUCUUAUUCUAUGUAUAAGAUUACACCACCUGUGAAUAGAGAUAAUUUUACUUGUUUCUUUUCAAUUUGGAUGCCUUUUAUCUUUCUUGCCUGAUUGCCCUGGCUAGGACCUCGACUACAGUGUUGACUAGAGGUGGCGAAAAUGAGCAUCUUUGUCUUGUUCCUGAUCUUAUAAGGAAAGCUUUCAGUCUUCUACCAUUGAGUAUGAUGUUAGCUGUGAGUUUUUUAUAAUAACCUUUUAUCAGGUUGAGGAAGUUCCUUCCCAUUUUUAAUUUAUUGAGUGUUUUAUCAUGAGAGGUUGUUGGAUUUUGUCAAAUUUUUUUUCUGCAUUUAUUGGGAUGAUCAUGUGGGGUUUUUCCCCCUACAUUCUUCUAAUAUGUAUGUAAUACAUAUUUGAUUUUUCCAUGUUGAACCACCCUUGCAUUUGGCCAUUGAGAUUUUAAUCUAGGAGUCUAUUAAUUGAAUAAGGAUUCAAAAUAAGGGUUCCAUAUGUUAUUUUUAAAUGUUUUCACUAUUUCUGAGGAAAUCUAAAUAUAUUUUAAGUAUCAAUAGAAGAGAUGUAUUUGUUUUCUUCUUUCUGUUUUUGUAAGAGUAUCAGCGGUUGAUAGAAUAAUGGGAGGGAGGUAGUGAACCAGAAGGUACUAGGACGUAUAUUAUAGGGCUACAGUAAUGAAGCAGUCCUGAUGGACAGAUACAAAACUAAAGAUGAAGUAUAGGAACAGCUCAAGUAUAGAUAAGCACUGAAGCUGGGCAUGGUGGCUCACACCUUUAAUCCCAACACUUUGGGUGGCGGAGGUAGGAGAAUCACUUGAGCCCAGGAGGUCAAGGCUGCAGUGAGCCGUGAUCCUGCCACUGCACUCCAGCCUGGGCGGCAGAGCAAGACUUUGUCUCAAAAAAAAAAAAAAAAAAAAAAAAAAUCAGUAUUGUGCUGUCUGUUGUUAGGUUGAAUUAUUCUAGACCAUCUAAAGGACAAUUGAUUCUCAUCAUUCACCCUACUUAUAUUCUAUAAAGUUGCCAUGAACACUGGAAUAAGAAAUACUAAACUAUUGCUGCUAGGGCAAAUAAUUGGGUUAGGUUCCUCUGCACCUCUGGUUACAACAUUUUCAUCAACCAGUUGACACAAAACUUGCUUUAUGUGUAUUUUUGUUUAAAGGUGUCUUAUUUAAUGUCUGUUGAUUCAUUGCACUACAACUCAUGCCUGAACAAAGCUUCUCUAACACACAAAUUUUCUCCAUAAGGGACAUCACAGCAUUAGGAGUAAUAGACGGCACUUUAGCAUGACACUUGGGGGCCACUCUAAAUAGCAAAAUCACCAACAAAACACAGAAGUCCAAAAAAGUGGCAAUAAACAGGCCAUGAAAAGGGUACUUUUUCACAGGAUCAGAGCUGAAACAGUUGCCUGUUCACCUUCACCUGGGAAAACACGUGUCAGGUAAUUCAAAUUCUUCACAGCUCUGCACAUGCACAUAUCUGUGAUGACAGGAAAAAAGUAUUGAUUUGGAGGUUGCAAAUAAAUUUUAAUAAGUAGAUGAAUUUGCACGUAUAGAAUUCACAAGUAUUGAGAGUCAGCUGUACAUACUUUUUAAUCUUAAUUUUUUUCUUCAUAAUAUGUUCUAUAUGGUGCUAAUCAUUAGUAUUUUAACCUU